AGCAGCCGCGGUAAUUCCAGCUCCAAUAGCGUAUAUUAAAGUUGCUGCAGUUAAAAAGCUCGUAGUUGAAUUUCGGGACCGAUAUAUCGGUCGUGCCUCGGUACGUACUGGUAUUUUCGGUUUCUACCUUCUGACGAACCUUGAUGUCAUUAAUUUGGUGUCUUGGGGAAUCAGGACUGUUACUUUGAAAAAAUUAGAGUGUUUAAAGCAGGCUCACGCUUGAAUACAUUAGCAUGGAAUAAUGAAAUAGGACGUUUGAUUCUAUUUUGUUGGUUUCUAGGAUCGACGUAAUGAUUAAUAGGGAUAGUUGGGGGCAUUAGUAUUCAAUUGUCAGAGGUGAAAUUCUUGGAUUUAUUGAAGACUAACUACUGCGAAAGCAUUUGCCAAGGAUGUUUUCAUUAAUCAAGAACGAAAGUUAGGGAUCGAAGACGAUCAGAUACCGUCGUAGUCUUAACCAUAAACUAUGCCGACUAGGGAUCGGAUGAUGUUAAUUUUUAUGACUCAUUCGGCGCCUUACGGG
rnacentral:rRNA from 1 species